UUAAAUUCCAGGUGCCAGAAACAACACAUCUUCCACAAAGAAUACUGAGAUUCCUUCUGCUUUGCCUGAUCCAGAGUUCACCAUGAUCCCCUCCAAGACAAGACACAGGCCAUUCCACAGAUAAA
rnacentral:lncRNA from 1 species